UUUUUCGUGUGUUGUUCUCUCACAUGUAGUAUGAUGUUACUUGUGAGGUUUCAUUCGUGCGAUACGAUACGCACAUAAAUAUCAAACAAAAACAAAACAAUAUAGAUUCCGAAUAAAGCAAUGCAACAUUAGGUUUUUUAGUCGUUGUACGGAAACUAAAUUAAAUCGAACGAAUAAAUUGAAGUUCAUCGUAUUUUUUGUAAAUUUUGUGAUAAAUACGAAUUGAUUACAUCAUGUUACCGAAUCCCAAAAAAUACGAAGUUAAACCAAAAAGAGGCCGAAAACGAUGGUUAGAGUUAUUCGCAGUGAAUUUGCUCAUCGUUUUGAUAAUAUUAUAAAAUGGAUUCCUUGAGUUUAUUUUGAAAUUUUUUCCUAAGCGAUAAGAAAUAAAUCUAACUUUUUACUUAUUA